ACGCUCGACACCUACGGGAGGCAGCAGUGAGGAAUAUUGGUCAAUGGGCGCUAGCCUGAACCAGCCAAGUAGCGUGAAGGAUGAAGGCUCUAUGGGUCGUAAACUUCUUUUAUAUAAGAAUAAAGUGCAGUAUGUAUACUGUUUUGUAUGUAUUAUAUGAAUAAGGAUCGGCUAACUCCGCGCCAGUAGCCGCGGUAAUCUGAGCGGGCUGGCAAGGC
rnacentral:rRNA from 1 species